AUUGAACGCUGGCGGCAGGCCUAACACAUGCAAGUCGAACGAGGGGCAGACGGGUGAGUAAUGUCUGGGAAACUGCCCGAUGGCGGGGGAUAACUACUGGAAACGGUAGCAAAUACCGCAUACCGUCGGGUGUGCCCAGAUGGGAUUAGCUAGUAGGGGGGGUAAAGGCUAACCUAGGCGACGAUCCCUGGCAGGUCUGAGAGGAGGACCAGCCACACUGGAACUGAGACACGGUCCAGACUCCUACGGGAGGCAGCAGUGGGGAAUAUUGCACAAUGGGCGCAAGCCUGAUGCAGCCAUGCCGCGUGUAUGAAGAAGGCCUUCGGGUUGUAAAGUACUUUCAGCGGGGAGGCGUUACCCGCAGAAGAAGCACCGGCUAACUCCGUGCCAGCAGCCGCGGUAAUAC
rnacentral:rRNA from 1 species